rnacentral:rRNA from 1 species
CGUAAUAACAGAAACUAACCAGGAUUCCCUUAGUAACGGCGAGUGAACUGGGAUACCAAUAUAUUUAUGCGUCUCUGACGCAUAUUUUUAGCCCGUCGAUACUAUCCUAGCGUAUUACCGGUUUCGGCCGGUAGCCCAAUACGCGGGAAUUGUAGCAUCGUAAUAAAAUAUACACCAUGCCUGCGUCGCAAACGUAUAUACACGUAUACUCACACACACAUACUCGUACGCGUACACACCCCUUGCAAACACACAGCGCUCCCGCGUUGGAAAGCAAGUCUAUAUCCUCUUUGGAUAUGCCAUAGAGUGUGACAGCCACGUUUGAAACACCCUUACGUACCGUACACACACAUACGUAAAAAUACGCGCUGCUUCGCAUACGCAUACCGUAUAUAACCUGAGUCGAGUUAUUU